AGUGAACGCUGGCGGCAUGCCUAACACAUGCAAGUCGAACGGUAACAGGCCCGCAAGGGUGCUGACGAGUGGCGGACGGGUGAGGAAUACAUCGGAAUUUGCCCAGUCGUGGGGGAUAACGUAGGGAAACUUACGCUAAUACCGCAUACGACCUAACGGUGAAAGCGGGGGAUCGCAAGACCUCGCGCGGAUGGAUAAGCCGAUGUCGGAUUAGCUAGUUGGCGGGGUAAAGGCCCACCAAGGCGACGAUCCGUAGCUGGUCUGAGAGGAUGAUCAGCCACACUGGGACUGAGACACGGCCCAGACUCCUACGGGAGGCAGCAGUGGGGAAUAUUGGACAAGUGGGGGCAACCCUGAUCCAGCAAUGCCGCGUGUGUGAAGAAGGCC
rnacentral:rRNA from 1 species